rnacentral:lncRNA from 1 species
UCAUUGGUACUUGCUGCGGUAUGUUGGUGGUGGUGGUGUGACCGGAUGGGUUGACGGUGGUAUGUGUUGUUUAUGGUGGUGUCCUUCGGUGUCGUCCCUGUUGUUGUGCCAAGACAUCCCAUGGCUACCGUUGUGCUGCGGCGAGUCUCGUGAUCUUGGCAUUAUGUCGGUUCUUUUGUGUCUUCGACUGUCCUUCGCGUGGUCUUUAUCAUGUUGGCAUGCUCCAAAACCUCCCGUGGUUGCCGUUGUGUUGCGGUGAGCCUCGGGCUCUUGGAGCUGUCUUGGUUCACCUUUUCUCAUUGCCGAAGCAAUGAUGCCUUCCCAACCUGCUAAUCGUUUCGACCAUCUGUGGUGGAUUUUCCAGUCAAGGUUCGUGUUAAGUUUGGC